AAUAAUCGAAAAAUCCAUCUCAGACAGUGGUUCUGUUUCAAUUGCAUUGGUGGAAUACUAGCUAGCAAUCUCCCUCUCUUUCUCUCUCAAAUCGAAUCGAAUAGCCAUGAGAGCACUUCAGGCCUCAACCUCCUCCUCAUAUGGCGUCGGCAUUUCCUCCUUCGCUUCUGCUGCUCCUCGGCGGCUUCGUCUCCGUCACCACCAUGUAAUCUUAGCAAAAGUGGAACCCUCGGACAAGUCUGUUGAAAUAAUGAGGAAGUUCUCAGAGCUGUAUGCUCAUAAGUCCGGCACAUAUUUUUGUGUAGACAAGGGAGUUACAUCCGUUGUUAUCAAGGCACUAUGAUGACAAAACUGCUGAGGCAGGGCAAGGCUUUUGGAACUGUCCAUGUGUUCCUAUGAGAGAGAGGAAUGUGGUUCUAACUUGAUUCUUGCUUUGAACCGCGAAAUUGUGGUUGUAGAGCUGAAAUGUCACCCUCAGUAUGCAAUUCCUGCAACUAAGAGUUUGAUGGUUCUUAUGAUUUGGAGCAUUACUAGUUUUCUAUUUAAUUGAUUACCAUUUUUUUUAUGUAGAAGAUGACAUUUUGGUGCCUUGAAUACGGUCUGAGAGUCAGAAUUAUAUUAUGCUAUUGAAGUUUUGAGUUUCUGCAGUUUAUUUCCUGUCUCGGGUUCAAAAUGUCAUCGUUGUUAUCCUUGUGACCAGUUAUCCAUAUCUAAUUUGGGAACUUGACUUAGCAAGGAGUGUCACUGCAUGCUUUUUCUCACCCCUGAUAAUGAUUUUGUUGGCAAAGAACAGGUAAACACUGUAUCCAGUUUGUUCAUUUCCCUAACUUUUCUGUUUUACUGCUAGACUUUACGCAUUCAAGUUACACUAGAGAGAGAGAGAGAGAGAGCUUCUAACUUAAUUGUUGUGGUUUGCCCACACAGUGUACGUGUACUUAGGCAUGUUAUUUUUGGAGUUUUUUACCACUUCCUCAUAUCCUCACUAUUGGCUUGACAUACAGACCAUUUCCUUGGAAGAAAUCAGAGAAUCAAAGGCUAAGAUGUAGUGCUCUUGUGUUUUGAAUUUGCUUAUAUGUAUAUUUUUGUACUUUAGUAAGAAACUAUUUUGGUCAUGUUCCUAUUAAUAUUGUCUUCCUUGGGUCAUGUUUGCCGAUUUUCUGUGUAUGACCCACAACUGGGUUCUUGCUUUUGUGGCUCCUGCUGGACAUUCGCAUUGGUACCUUUGUUUUGGGGUCAUUCUGAAUACCCGUGCCUAAGGAGAAGAGGGCACAAAGAGGAUUUUUGGAGUGGGUUAUUUUGUAACGUGCUGUUCUACCUCUUGUACAAUAUUAUUGCUUAAUUUCUUGUGCACUCUAUUUUGUGUAUGUUAUUGUUUC